AAACAACGAUGAAGAGUUUGAUCCUGGCUCAGGAUGAACGCUAGCGGCAGGCCUAACACAUGCAAGUCGAGGGGUAACAGGGAGCUUGCUCCG
rnacentral:rRNA from 1 species